CAAUCUCAUUUCGCAUAUCUUAGAUUACGUACGCCUUUUUUUCCGCAGAUUACUAGUCAUGAACAGUUUUCGGACAUUGUGUAGUAUAAGGUAGUAGCAUAGUUGGGGAAUAAAACCUAAAUGAAAUGAUAGAACAAUACAAACCAAAACAAAGUUCUUAUAUGACAAUAUGUGUGCAAAUGCUUCCCAAUGGUGCUAUACGUAAAAGAAAAGAGAAGAUCCCUCAAUUUUGGCUAAGUCGCACAUCUUGUUUACAUUGCGAGGGUGAAUUUUAGUCGUAUAUUUUACCACGGGGGUCCAGGGGGCAGAGCCCCCUGACUAGGGAAUAUACACCACGAUGUUAGGUUAGUUUGGAUGUUGGGUUAGCACGAUUUGUUUAACAACCACGGGAUGUCCUGUUUUACCCGAUAUACUUCAUGCCCUCCCCUGCUAUGGGACUAUCAAAUCAAGAUUGUCGAUGGAGAUGGUGAUCAUAACCCCUCAACGAUUCAUUUGCACAAGGAACAAUGCCUAGAAUCAUUGAAAGCAGUGGAUUUCAUGUAAAAAUAUCAAAUUGUUUCAAAAGUAACCUACUACCCUUUUCUACAUAUUGACCCAGUUUUCACCGUAUUGUACCCAGGAUGAAUGAUGAGCAAUAGAAAAGCCUUGUCAUAUGGCUGGUUUUGGUGACUCCUAACAAUACAAUUCAACAGUACCUACUGUCAUGGAAAACUUAAUGCAAGUUAAAGCUACUACCAAGAGGCUCUUCCUGAGGAAAGCAAACAUCGUAAGAGGAUGAAUGAUAAGCAAUAGAAAAGCCUUGUCAUAUGGCUGGUUUUGGUGUCUCCUAACAAUACAAUUCAACAGUACCUACUGUCAUGGAAAACUUAAUGCAAGUUAAAGCUACUACCAAGAGGCUCUUCCUGAGAAAAGCAAACAUCGUAAGAGGUAGGAUGAAGAUGGGAGAAUUAAUUAGAUGAUCCAAAUAAAGAAUCAAAUAUUAAAUUUAAAUCAUAAUCACCUACAUUCAGUGGGAGAAUCAGGGAUUAUUGGCCUUUCUAAAAUAUUAUAUGAGAUUAAUGAACCCCAUGCAUUGAAAUCAUGCCCUAUAGAAAAGCUUUGUAUUGUGUUGAAGAAAUUGAUGGUUAUGUUGUAAUAAUUGAAUGGCUUGACUCAAAAUAUGGGGACAGCACUAAACUUGCUGAAAUAAUAGUCAGUGAAUGAAAAAAUCUUUCUUAGAUAUCAGUAAGACAAAUGCUCAAGGAGAAAUGCGCUCCACCUACAUGAUCUCCCUCAUAGAAAAAAUAUUACCAAGAUGCAUGCAGUUGGAUUGGACCAUAAUAACACAUAGAUUCAAUAAUUUACAAUUUAAUUGAACCAUUUUUUAUAUUUUUUGGUAAAAGAAAGAAAUGUACUAGUACAAUUAGACUCUUGAGUUGCUGUCAAAUGUGCAAAGGGUAUCCACUAAUGCGGUCACAGAAACUGGUUAUAACAUUGAAUGGAAAAGUACUCUCAGUGAAUUGGAAUUCUCACAGUCAGUGAUUAUUGAAAUACUGAAUAACAUGAUUCAGUUAAUGACAGGAAAUAACUUGAAUAAUGAUAGUCUUUUGGUAAAGUCAAGUCCAUUAUGAAAUGCAGUUGUUACAAUGGAUCUCAUUCCCUUACAGAUUGUUUUGCCUUUAAAAGACUUAAUGUGAAUGAAAAAGUAAAAUUCUUGAAAGGAAAAGGGAUUUGUUACAAAUGCUUGCUCGGAGGAUAUAUUGCUAGAUUCUAUAGAGCUAAAGUAAAAUGUGAAAAUAGUUGUAAAGGUCUUCCCAGUGGACUGAAUCACCAUCUAUUAUUGCAUGAAUAUUUUAUUUAAUAAAGAGCCAAUCUCCUCAAUGCCACAAAUUUAGUUUCUAGAUUGGGAUUAUUGUUUAUGGAAGGUUAGGUUAUGUGUAGAGGCAACAACCUAUGUGUAAUAUAUAAUACUGGUUUGAAUAUUUCCCUUAUAUUUCAUGACACUGCAAGAUAUAUAGAACUGAACGGAAAAGAUAUUUAAAUUGACAUUACCAAAGUUCGAAAUACUAGUGCAACAAUUCAUACCAAGGAUUAUUGAGUUAUGGGCAACUUGCAGUUGUUGAGAGUUUCAUUUGGAUACAUUCUUUGAGACUUGCAUAACAUAUGGUCAAAAUGCAUCUCGUUCAAAAUUGAGAAUUAAUUGUAUAGGGAUUACAAGUCAGACACCUGAUGCCAAUAGGGAUACAAAGUAUGAAGUAUGAUAUUAAACAUAGUUUUUGAAAUAGAAAACUUGGGGAUCUCUUGUUGACUAAAAAGCUCAGGAUGUAAGUGUAGGAAUUGUUAAUUGGAAGAAAAAAAAAUAUAUCAAAAGAAAAACAAGAAUUGAAUAUCAUUUUAUAGAGUUUAGCUUAUUAUGGUAACAUUAACCCGUUGGAUCCAUGUGACAUGGCCAUCAUGUCAUGAAAAAAUCUGGGUCGAGGGACGCGUAACGUUGUGAGUGUUGUGGCUGAAGGCCAGGGUGAUGGAAUACACUUGCAAUGAAUGCACAAACCUAUUAGGUAGUUUAUUUGACUUAUUUGGCAAUUUUGCAUUGUUCCCAUUGAUGUAUGAGUGUGGAAUGAAAUAUCCAUUAGUGGUGACUGGAAGUGCACCAGCUCCAUGAAGGAUGCCAUUUCCAUGCUCAGCAUCAUAUUCCUGGCGCUGUGAGCAGCAGUGCUGGUUUUACAGAAAAUUAAAUAUCACAUAAAUAUAAAAAAAAGAAAUACAAAAGUAACAUAGUAUUACAUACUUUUAUUUUUCUUGCCCUGAGUUGUAGAAUUCCUUUUGAGAUGAUUGGAGUCAGUGCAAAAAAAAAAAAAAAAAAGCAAUUACCAUCUGGAUAAUGCAAAUCAAAUGACAAAUAUGGGCAUUGGAAAAUUUCCUAAAAGCUAAAGUACACAUAUGUGUAAAAAUAAUAAUAGCCGCUCACAGAAGCCUAAUGGCCAGAUUUUUGUUGUGAUGCAACCAGAUCCAAUGAGUUGAACAGUGGACUGUGAUAUAUUCAAAGAUCUUAGAGGUUAGAAAGAGAGUUAGCCCAGGAUAUAUCUCAGAAAGUAUAAUAAUACUGCAUUUUACGAUUCUCACACUGAGGUCCUCAUACGGGAGUCAGAAUCAACACCACUACACAUUUUUUAUGCUAUAUCUUGAUUGUCUAGCCCUUAUCCCUGAUGGGACCCUGAGGGGACUACCUUAUAUCUUCCCAUAUAUUUCAGGCUUACCAUGGCCAGUAAUGGAGAUUGAGGCUUGCCACUUUAUUAGCCAUUUCCUGGUUUACUGACCCCUGACUCCCUUUUGAUCACAACUCAAACCACAGCUACUACACUCCCCUCCUUGACAUGUGCUGUCAACUUAACCUAUCCUGAAUCACUUACCCAGGUUUUAACUAAACAUUCAAAAGACACUUCUUCCUCACUCCCAAUCCUCCUACCCCCCUCUUACACAAUCAUCUUCAUUUUCUACCUCCUCAUCCCUUAUUACAACUCUUCAAUCUUGUUACCCUCUUCCCCACAUUACUAUGUCACUCCACGCCACUCCCUCCUCCUCCCGUCCUUGCCCCUUUGCAAACCUUUUGAGUACCUUAUUUGGCCCAGGGGAGUGGGACCAAUUUUUUGUGAUACCCCAACAGUCCUUACUUCAAUAAUACCCUCCUCUUUCAACAAUACCUCUAAAAACAAGUAGGCAAACAUUCCUUCCUCAAUUGUCCCGAUUGCUCAUGCAUCAAACCCAUGCACUUAUUGAUCCUGGUUGAUGUUACUGGUAAACUUAUUCCUGCCCAACCCCACUCCUCCCUUAACUCAAUCCUGUUGUUUUUGUGAAUUUUGCUCCACGUUUGCUUAGCGUCUAUCAGUAGGCCCUAGUGACUGCUCCUGAUUUCUCCAUUCCUUGAAAUUGCGGGAAAAUGUGUUUUUCUAAUACUGUCGAUACUGUUAUUAUUCUUACUGAUAUUAUGAUUAUUAAAUGGUUAUUGACAUCUUGGUAACAUUAACCGUUCUGGUGUGGAUGGUUUAAUAAACCUGUGUUGCUUGUGUAUAGGGCACUCCCCCUGAGCAGUCAUUCAUUCAUUCAUUCAUGAGAGAGAGAGAGAGAGAGAGAGAGAGAGAGAGAGAGAGAGAGAGAGAGAGAGAGAGAGAGAGAGAGAGAGAGAGAGAGAGAGAGAGAGAGAGAUGCAAAGAUUGUCAAAUAUGCAAUCAUUCAAAGUUGUUUCGAGUAAAAUGUUUGAGAAAUGAAAGAAAGGGAGAGGAAGGUAAGAGACCAAGGAAAUGAGCCAGGGAGGGGGGUAGUGUACCCCAUAUCAGUCUCCCAUCCCUGGUGGAUUGGUAUGUGGCGAAGGAUAGGGGGAUAUGGAGGACAAGGGUAGGACCACAUAGGGAAAACUUGUGACAUAGACUCUUUAGUUUAGUCCUUUAUUUACCACCCUGGCUAACUGCACAGGCGUGGGCAAGCUGUGGUACAUUUAAUGCAUGGUCAUAACAUUAUAUAGUGUUACAUUUGAAUUUUAGCCUAUAACAUU